UACUAGAGUAGCACUCGCAUAUCAAUAAGCGGAGGAAAAGAAACUAACAAGGAUUCCCCUAGUAACGGCGAGUGAAGCGGGAAGAGCUCAAAUUUGAAAUCUUAAAGGGUUUCCCUUUACGAAUUGUAGUUUAAAGAAGUGUUUUCUGUUGAGGUUUUGGUAAAAGUUCUUUGGAAUAGGACAUCAUAGAGGGUGAGAAUCCCGUAUUUGACCUUUACUUUCAACUUUGUGAUACACUUUCAAAGAGUCGGAUUGUUUGGGAAUGCAGUCCAAAAUGGGUGGUAAAUUUCAUCUAAAGCUAAAUAUUGGCGAGAGACCGAUAGCGAACAAGUACCGUGAGGGAAAGAUGAAAAGAACUUUGAAAAGAGAGUUAAACAGUACGUGAAAUUGUCAAAAGGGAAGCGUUUGACACCAGUGUUGUUUUUCUGAAAAUCAAUUAAAGAACUGUUUAUGCUAAGCUGUUUAGACUUUAUCAGCUAUCUGUUUAGUUUUGAGCUUUUCUUUAAUGCACUUUUCAGUUAACAAGUCAACAUCAAUUUCUUUUGCUGUAAAAAAGCUUGAGGAAGGUGGCUUGAGAUUCGUCUUAAGUGUUUAUAGCCUCUUGCCUAUGCAGUCGGAGAGAUUGAGGUCUGCAGCGUAGAUCCUUCGGGGCUAGAUGCAUUUGUGCUAAGUUAUAGCAUUUUAUAGACAACUUGUUGACUAUGAUUUGUCUUGUAGCUUACUCGCUUAUGUUAUUUUACCUACGCUUAGGAUGUUGAGCGCAUGUCUCUCUCU
rnacentral:rRNA from 1 species